rnacentral:tRNA from 1 species
UCCCUUAUAGCUCAGCGGUUAGAGUAUUGCAUUUUCCUUGUUCGUCUGAAACACGUAUAAGAAGCGAGGUUGCAAAGGUCAUCGGUUCGAAUCCGAUUAAGGGAU